AUUGAACGCUGGCGGCAUGCUUUACACAUGCAAGUCGAACGGCAGCGCGGGCUUCGGCCUGGCGGCGAGUGGCGAACGGGUGAGUAAUGCAUCGGAACGCGCCCAGUAGUGGGGGAUAGCCCGGCGAAAGCCGGAUUAAUACCGCAUACGACCUGAGGGUGAAAGCGGGGGGCCGAAAGGCCUCGCGCUAUUGGAGCGGCCGAUGUCGGAUUAGCUAGUUGGUGGGGUAAAGGCUUACCAAGGCGACGAUCCGUAGCUGGUCUGAGAGGACGACCAGCCACACUGGGACUGAGACACGGCCCAGACUCCUACGGGAGGCAGCAGUGGGGAAUUUUGGACAAUGGGGGCAACCCUGAUCCAGCCAUGCCGCGUGCGGGAAGAAGGCCUUCGGGUUGUAAACCGCUUUUGUUCGGGAAGAAAUCCUCUGGGCUAAUACCCCGGGGGGAUGACGGUACCGGAAGAAUAAGCACCGGCUAACUACGUG
rnacentral:rRNA from 1 species